GAUGAACGCUGGCGGCGUGCCUAAUACAUGCAAGUCGAGCGAACAGACGAGGAGCUUGCUCCUCUGACGUUAGCGGCGGACGGGUGAGUAACACGUGGAUAACCUACCUAUAAGACUGGGAUAACUUCGGGAAACCGGAGCUAAUACCGGAUAAUAUAUUGAACCGCAUGGUUCAAUAGUGAAAGACGGUUUUGCUGUCACUUAUAGAUGGAUCCGCGCCGGAUUAGCUAGUUGGUAAGGUAACGGCUUACCAAGGCAACGAUGCGUAGCCGAGCUGAGAGGGUGAUCGGCCACACUGGAACUGAGACACGGUCCAGACUCCUACGGGAGGCAGCAGUAGGGAAUCUUCCGCAAUGGGCGGAAGCUUGACGGAGCAACGCCGCGUGAGUGAUGAAGGUCUUCGGAUCGUAAAACUCUGUUAUUAGGGAAGAACAAAUGUGUAAGUAACUAUGCACGUCUUGACGGUACCUAAUCAGAAAGCCACGGCUAACUACGUG
rnacentral:rRNA from 1 species